UCUACAGAAACAAACCAACAAGUUACAAGGAUAAGCUCAAUUUCUGAGGUGGCUAUUGGUGCGGGCUCGACCCACGUCGCUUUUCUUUAGAGUUUAGCUCAUCUUUUCGUUUUGAAAUUAAUUAAAUUAAGUGAGUCAAGCUUGGUUUCUUUAGCUUCCAUCAUAUACCUCAUUUCACAAAAUUACUAUAAUUAACAAUAAAUCUCUAUUCUACAAGGCAACUAGGGGGGACACCAAAAUAUUAAAAGCCCCAUUCUACCCUUAUUGAAUAAAUCAAUUUACAUAUUCUAUAAAAAAAAAUACCAAAAAAAAGAAAGAAAAGAAAAUACGUAACAUAUUACAUAACUGACUCCUUAAUAUAAAAAAAAAAAAAAAACAAGAAAACACCAUAAAUAAACAAACGUGUACGGCUUAACUGCUAAACAUAUAACCACCCAAUAAAAUCCCUUAAUAAAGGGAAAAACUGCAAAUAAACACGCCAGUUUCUAAAUCUUUCAUUCUUAAAUCUUUCAUUCUUAAAUCUUUCAUUCUUCCACUUCUCCAUUCAAUUCUCUGAACAACACAACCACAUAAACAAACCACAAAUCAGAAUACCAUUUUUUCCACCAAUACCAGGUAAUUACAGUGAUUUAUUCACAAAAAUAUAAAUACAUCAUUUAUUUUCUGGCAUGAAUUUUAUGCAGGGUACUUUCACAAUUGUUGUAAUACAUGAUCCAAUAGAAGCAAAACAUUGUUGGAUGUGCAAGGAAACAGUAAAAAUAGAAACAACAGAGAUAAAGUAAAACGGAAACAUUAGAGAGGUUUGAUCGCACAUUACAUUGGUGUGCUUUAAUUCAGAGUGCAAUCUCAAGUUCAAUGCAACUUCCAAAGGGCUCAAGUACAACUAAGAUAACACUCAAAAAAGGUAUGUCUUUUAACAUUGUUAUUGAGCCACAUUUAAAAUCAAGUCUUUCAAUUUUAUUGUGUGAUUAAUCAAAAUGUUAAUUUCUAAAACAAAAUUGACUUUUAGAAUUAAUAUUGUGUGGACAGAAGCUAAUCAUCACCAUACGAAUAAUCUCAAGGUAUGUCUUUUAGUAUUAAUAUUGUUGCGGGUUACGAAAUCACUAAUUAAUCACACCAUACGAUCCACAUAAUUUCCAACAGCAAAACUAUUACGGAGAUAACUGUGUUCUUCGAUGUACAAAUUGAGUAUUUUAUUUGGAAUUUGAAAAAAAAAAGAACGAUCGCCAAUUUUAGGAUACAACCCUAUAAUUUCUCAAACCAAAAUUAAGUAUUCUAAUGGAUAAAUAAUUCUAAAAAACCAAUCUUUUCAUAAAAAUAAUUACAGUGUUCUUUUUUAUAAAAAAAAUCGAUCCAUACUAAAUCGAAUAAAACACCGACAAUUUACAAUACAUACUAUUUUUGCGUUUCUCGAAUUAUAAAAAAUCAUUCAUUUUUCAAGAUAAUUUUUUCAGAUAUGAAUAAUAAUGCGAAAAUAAUACUGAAAAAUUGCAAUAACAAAUUUUUUUGUAUUUUACUAGCAUGCAAAUAAGAAUGUUAAAAGAUUUCAAACUCACCUCCUCAAUUACAGUUCGAAUCCUCCAUUUCUUCUCUCAUUUUUCCUUCCUCCACCUUAAAUUUUUUCAAAUGUUUGAUUCACCGGAAACAAAAUCAAAUUAUUUCUCCAAAAAUUCUUCCUCCACCUUCAAUUAGUACCGUGAUUUGUUGUGUUUUUCAGAUUUCCAUUUAAAGCGAGAGGGAGAGCAGAGUUACAAGGGCGGUAGGGAGAGAGAGGAGACGCAAUGACGGUGGUGGCAGCUUCGGGAUUCAAAGUUUCGUGGUGGUAGACGAGUUACAGACUUAUAGGGAGUUUAAAGAGAGAGACGAAUGGUGUAGAACAAUAGAAGUAGAGAUAGAAAUUAUAAAUAAAAAAAAAAGAAGAAAAAGAAGAGGAGAUAUAUGUACUUUCAAUUUAUAGUAGCUUAUUUGAAAACAUUUGAUAACAUUUUUUUGAUAGGAACAUUUGAUAAUAUUUGA